CAGGACGAACGCUGGCGGCGUGCCUAACACAUGCAAGUCGAACGGACGAGGGGAGGCUUGCUCCCCAAGUUAGUGGCGGACGGGUGAGUAACACGUGAGCAACCUGCCCUUCGGAGGGGGACAACAGCGGGAAACUGCUGCUAAUACCGCAUAAUGUAUUCUGGAGGCAUCUCCGGGAUACCAAAGAUUUUAUCGCCGAAGGAUGGGCUCGCGUCUGAUUAGAUAGUUGGUGGGGCAACGGCCCACCAAGUCUGCGAUCAGUAGCCGGACUGAGAGGUUGAACGGCCACAUUGGGACUGAGAUACGGCCCAGACUCCUACGGGAGGCAGCAGUGGGGAAUAUUGGGCAAUGGGGGCAAACCCCUGACCCAGCAACGCCGCGUGGAGGAAGAAGGCUUUCGGGUUGUAAACUCCUUUGACGAGGGACGAUGAUGACGGUACCUCGAAAACAAGCCACGGCUAACUACGUGCCAGCAGCGGC
rnacentral:rRNA from 1 species